rnacentral:rRNA from 1 species
UGGGGAAUAUUGGACAAUGGGGGGAACCCUGAUCCAGCCAUGCCGCGUGUGUGAAGAAGGCCUUAUGGUUGUAAAGCACUUUAAGCGAGGAGGAGGCUACUAGUAUUAAUACUACUGGAUAGUGGACGUUACUCGCAGAAUAAGCACCGGCUAACUCUGUGCCAGCAGCCGCGGUAAUACAGAGGGUGCGAGCGUUAAUCGGAUUUACUGGGCGUAAAGCGUGCGUAGGCGGCCAUUUAAGGUCAAAUGUGAAAUCCCCGAGCUUAACUUGGGAAUUGCAUUCGAUACUGGAUGGCUAGAGUAUGGGAGAGGAUGGUAGAAUUCCAGGUGUAGCGGUGAAAUGCGUAGAGAUCUGGAGGAAUACCGAUGGCGAAGGCAGCCAUCUGGCCUAAUACUGACGCUGAGGUACGAAAGCAUGGGGAGCAAACAGGAUUAGAUACCCUGGUAGUCCAUGCCGUAAACGAUGUCUACUAGCCGUUGGGGCCUUUGAGGCUUUAGUGGCGCAGCUAACGCGAUAAGUAGACCGCCUGGGGAGUACGGUCGCAAGA